CGUGUAGGCGGCUGAGCAAGUCAGAUGUAGAAACUCCCUGGGCUUAACCCCAGGAAGUGCAUUUGAAACUGCUUAGCUUGAGUAAGGAAGAGGGAAGUGGAAUUCCUGGUGUAGAGGUGAAAUUCGUAGAUAUCAGGAGGAACACCGGUGGCGAAGGCGACUUCCUGGUCCUAUACUGACGCUGAGACGCGAGAGCGUGGGGAGCAAACA
rnacentral:rRNA from 1 species